CUGAUUGGGCAGGAAAAGGGAUCCACACACUCCUGGUGUGGAGAUGCUGCAGGAAAAGGGCAGGAGGAAAAGGGAUCCACACAGUGUCUGGUGUGGAGAUGCUGCAGGAAAAGGGCAGGGAAAGGGAUCCACACAGUGCCUGGUGUGCAAUGCUGCAGGAAAAGGGAUCCACACAGUGCCUGGUGUGCAGUGCUGCAGGGAAAAGGAUUCACACACUCCUGGUGUGGAAAUCCUGCAGGAAAAGGGCAGGAAAAAGGUAGGAAAAGGGAUUCCUCCACUGCCUGGUGUGGGGGUGCUGCUGGCAAAGGGCAGCCCCGAGGGGCUCUGGCAUUGGGGCACACCAGGAGCAGAGGGGACAGUGCCCCCCCAAAAACUCCAACAGGUUAUUUUGGAGCUGCUUUACCCCCAGUGUCCCCAGGUGAUGGUGAUGGUGUCCAGCACGGGCACAGCUCCCUGGGCACACAGAAAGGACCAGGGUGAUUUCCACCAAGUUUUCCUAAAGCUGCCAAUUAACAGCAAGUGAGAUCUUCCCUUCCUUCCCCCCCCCCCCCCACAACAGAAUAUUAAUUCUUUAUUAAUUCAUGAUCCAGCUGCUAAUUAGUACCUCCACAAACGGGCAUUGCACCUUGGCAGAGCACUGGAGGUGUUUUGGGGAUGGGCUGUGCACAGGGAGGGACAGAGGCUUGUGUUAAUCCUCUCCCCCCAACCCUGCCACAGCGAAGAAUUUCAACUUUCAGACAAACAACUUCAUUUACAAGUGUGUCUCUAAUUAGCUGCAGAAUUAGUAAAGCAGAGUUUUCCCCCCAUAGAUCGGCCAGGGCCCCGGGGGAGGCUCUGGAAUGGAGAGAAUCGCAUUUCCAAUUAUUUUGUUGAAUUGCUAAUUUAGUUAUUGUGCCUGGCGUAAUUGUGAUGGGUAUUGGGUGUGCAAUUCAAUUUGUUUUAAAUAUUUGUGGGAAGGCUGAUCAGUAAUGGAGCUGACCUAUUUCAUGGCCCAAAUUGAGAGAAGAGACUAAAACAAAAAACAGCUACAAAGCCCCAGUUUGUCUCAGUUUUUAUUUUGAUGUCUCUCAUCCCUCUUAAGACUGUUGAUGCAACAAAAGGUUUACAUUAAAAGAUGAUGGCACUUUGAUCUUGGGCUUUGGAGAGCUUA